UAGGGUUUGUGCAUUUCAUUAAACAAGAAACUUAAAGCAUGAAGAUGAACGGAUUCGGAUGCAUACUCUGGAAUGCUAUACUGAUAACAACCGGAACAUUGCCUUUGGUCAGAGCUGUUGGGGGCAUUUCGUUUCAUUGCUUACAACCAUUGAAGAUCGGGCCGUGUCUCGGAAAAUUCCAAAGAUUCUUUUUCAACACGUCAAGUCUACAAUGUGAAGUGUUCGCAUGGGGUGGAUGUUUUGGUGGCCAGAAUAAUUUCGAAACCUAUGAUAGCUGCCUCCGGGAGUGCGCAUGCGACUUGCCUAAAGAUGAAGGUCCCUGUUUUGGCUCCUCACCAAGUUGGUUCCACGAAGGUGGCACUUGCAAACAAUUUGUUUGGCGCGGUUGUGGUGGAAACGCGAACAGAUUUGAUUCAAGAUUGCAUUGUGCGAAACUUUGCUUGUGACAGGGUAGCAGUUUAAAUUGAAA